rnacentral:rRNA from 1 species
UACGUAGGGUGCAAGCGUUUAAUCGGAAUUACUGGGCGUAAAGCGUGCGCAGGCGGUUAUGUAAGACAGUUGUGAAAUCCCCGGGCUCAACCUGGGAAUUGCAUCUGUGACUGCAUAGCUAGAGUACGGUAGAGGGGGAUGGAAUUCCGCGUGUAGCAGUGAAAUGCGUAGAUAUGCGGAGGAACACCGAUGGCGAAGGCAAUCCCCUGGACCUGUACUGACGCUCAUGCACGAAAAGCGUGGGGAGCAAACAGG